rnacentral:rRNA from 1 species
UACGUAGGGGGGCUAGCGUUGCUCGGAAUCACUGGGCGUAAAGGGUGCGUAGGCGGGUCUUUAAGUCAGGGGGUGAAAUCCUGGAGCUCAACUCCAGAACUGCCUUUGAUACUGGCGAGCUUGAGUGCAGGAGAGGAACGCGGAAUUCCAGGUGUAGCGGUGAAAUGCGUAGAUAUCUGGAGGAACACCGGUGGCGAAGGCGGCGUUCUGGGACUGUAACUGACACUGAAAGACGAAAGCCAGGGGAGCAAACGGG